rnacentral:rRNA from 1 species
UCCAGACUCCUACGGGAGGCAGCAGUGGGGAAUAUUGCACAAUGGGGGAAACCCUGAUGCAGCAACGCCGCGUGAGUGAAGAAGUAUUUCGAUAUGUAAAGCUCUAUCAGCAGGGAAGAAGAUGACGGUACCUGAGUAAGAAGCCCCGGCUAACUACGUGCCAGCAGCCGCGGUAAUACGUAGGGGGCAAGCGUUAUCCGGAUUCACUGGGUGUAAAGGGAGCGUAGACGGCGACGCAAGUCUGGAGUGAAAGCCCGGGGCCCAACCCCGGGACUGCUCUGGAAACUGCGGCGCUGGAGUACGGGAGGGGCAGGCGGAAUUCCUGGUGUAGCGGUGAAAUGCGUAGAUAUCAGGAGGAACACCGGCGGCGAAGGCGGCCUGCUGGACCGUGACUGACGUUGAGGCUCGAGAGCGUGGGGAGCAAACAGGAUUAGAUACCCGAGUA